rnacentral:rRNA from 1 species
AUUGAACGCUGGCGGAAUGCUUUACACAUGCAAGUCGAACGGCAGCACGGGGGCAUCCCUGGUGUCGCGUUGCGAACGGGUGAGUAAUACAUCGGAACGUGCCCGGUCGUGGGGGAUAACGUAGCUUAAGUUACGCUAAUACCGCAUACGAUCUGAUGAUGAAAGCGGGGGACCUUCGGUCCUCGCGCGUUCUGAUCUGCCGAUGUCAGAUUAGCUAGUUGGUGGGGUAAAGGCCUACCAAGCCGACGAUCGGUAGCUGCUCUGAGAGGACGACCAGCCACACUGGGACUGAGACACGGCCCAGACUCCUACGGGAGGCAGCAGUGGGGAAUUUUGGACAAUGGGCGAAAGCCUGAUCCAGCAAUUCCGCGUGCAGGACGAAGGCCUUCGGGUUGUAAACUGCUUUUGUAAGGAAAGAAAAGGCUCUGGAUAAUAGCUGGGGCUCAUGACGGUACCGUAAGAAUAAGCACCGGCUAACUACGUG